UCUGUAGCAAGGUUAACCGAAUAGGGGAGCCGAAGGGAAACCGAGUCUUAACUGGGCGUUAAGUUGCAGGGUAUAGACCCGAAACCCGGUGAUCUAGCCAUGGGCAGGUUGAAGGUUGGGUAACACUAACUGGAGGACCGAACCGACUAAUGUUGAAAAAUUAGCGGAUGACUUGUGGCUGGGGGUGAAAGGCCAAUCAAACCGGGAGAUAGCUGGUUCUCCCCGAAAGCUAUUUAGGUAGCGCCUCGUGAAUUCAUCUCCGGGGGUAGAGCACUGUUUCGGCAAGGGGGUCAUCCCGACUUACCAACCCGAUGCAAACUGCGAAUACCGGAGAAUGUUAUCACGGGAGACACACGGCGGGUGCUAACGUCCGUCGUGAAGAGGGAAACAACCCAGACCGCCAGCUAAGGUCCCAAAGUCAUGGUUAAGUGGGAAACGAUGUGGGAAGGCCCAGACAGCCAGGAUGUUGGCUUAGAAGCAGCCAUCAUUUAAAGAAAGCGUAAUAGCUCACUGGUCGAGUCGGCCUGCGCGGAAGAUGUAACGGGGCUAAACCAUGCACCGAAGCUGCGGCAGCGACACUGUGUGUUGUUGGGUAGGGGAGCGUUCUGUAAGCCUGUGAAGGUGUGCUGUGAGGCAUGCUGGAGGUAUCAGAAGUGCGAAUGCUGACAUAAGUAACGAUAAAGCGGGUGAAAAGCCCGCUCGCCGGAAGACCAAGGGUUCCUGUCCAACGUUAAUCGGGGCAGGGUGAGUCGACCCCUAAGGCGAGGCCGAAAGGCGUAGUCGAUGGGAAACAGGUUAAUAUUCCUGUACUUGGUGUUACUGCGAAGGGGGGACGGAGAAGGCUAUGUUGGCCGGGCGACGGUUGUCCCGGUUUAAGCGUGUAGGCUGGUUUUCCAGGCAAAUCCGGAAAAUCAAGGCUGAGGCGUGAUGACGAGGCACUACGGUGCUGAAGCAACAAAUGCCCUGCUUCCAGGAAAAGCCUCUAAGCAUCAGGUAACAUCAAAUCGUACCCCAAACCGACACAGGUGGUCAGGUAGAGAAUACCAAGGCGCUUGAGAGAACUCGGGUGAAGGAACUAGGCAAAAUGGUGCCGUAACUUCGGGAGAAGGCACGCUGAUAUGUAGGUGAAGUCCCUCGCGGAUGGAGCUGAAAUCAGUCGAAGAUACCAGCUGGCUGCAACUGUUUAUUAAAAACACAGCACUGUGCAAACACGAAAGUGGACGUAUACGGUGUGACGCCUGCCCGGUGCCGGAAGGUUAAUUGAUGGGGUCAGCGCAAGCGAAGCUCUUGAUCGAAGCCCCGGUAAACGGCGGCCGUAACUAUAACGGUCCUAAGGUAGCGAAAUUCCUUGUCGGGUAAGUUCCGACCUGCACGAAUGGCGUAAUGAUGGCCAGGCUGUCUCCACCCGAGACUCAGUGAAAUUGAACUCGCUGUGAAGAUGCAGUGUACCCGCGGCAAGACGGAAAGACCCCGUGAACCUUUACUAUAGCUUGACACUGAACAUUGAGCCUUGAUGUGUAGGAUAGGUGGGAGGCUUUGAAGUGUGGACGCCAGUCUGCAUGGAGCCGACCUUGAAAUACCACCCUUUAAUGUUUGAUGUUCUAACGUGGACCCGUGAUCCGGGUUGCGGACAGUGUCUGGUGGGUAGUUUGACUGGGGCGGUCUCCUCCUAAAGAGUAACGGAGGAGCACGAAGGUUGGCUAAUCCUGGUCGGACAUCAGGAGGUUAGUGCAAUGGCAUAAGCCAGCUUGACUGCGAGCGUGACGGCGCGAGCAGGUGCGAAAGCAGGUCAUAGUGAUCCGGUGGUUCUGAAUGGAAGGGCCAUCGCUCAACGGAUAAAAGGUACUCCGGGGAUAACAGGCUGAUACCGCCCAAGAGUUCAUAUCGACGGCGGUGUUUGGCACCUCGAUGUCGGCUCAUCACAUCCUGGGGCUGAAGUAGGUCCCAAGGGUAUGGCUGUUCGCCAUUUAAAGUGGUACGCGAGCUGGGUUUAGAACGUCGUGAGACAGUUCGGUCCCUAUCUGCCGUGGGCGCUGGAGAACUGAGGGGGGCUGCUCCUAGUACGAGAGGACCGGAGUGGACGCAUCACUGGUGUUCGGGUUGUCAUGCCAAUGGCACUGCCCGGUAGCUAAAUGCGGAAGAGAUAAGUGCUGAAAGCAUCUAAGCACGAAACUUGCCCCGAGAUGAGUUCUCCCUGACCCUUUAAGGGUCCUGAAGGAACGUUGAAGACGACGACGUUGAUAGGCCGGGUGUGUAAGCGCAGCGAUGCGUUGAGCUAACCGGUACUAAUGAACCGUGAGGCUUAACCUUACAACGCCGAAGGUGUUU
rnacentral:rRNA from 1 species